rnacentral:rRNA from 1 species
GAUGAACGCUAGCGGCAGGCUUAACACAUGCAAGUCGAGGGGCAGCGCGGGAUAGCAAUAUCCUGGCGGCGACCGGCGGACGGGUGCGUAACGCGUGAGCGACAUGCCCGUUGCCCGGGGACAACCGGUGGAAACGCCGACUAAUCCCCGAUGGGAUAUUGUGCCGCAUGGCGCGAUAUUGAAAGUUACGGCGGCGACGGAUUGGCUCGCGUCCGAUUAGCUUGUUGGCGGGGUAACGGCCCACCAAGGCUGCGAUCGGUAGGGGUUCUGAGAGGAAGGCCCCCCACAAUGGGACUGAGACACGGCCCAUACUCCUACGGGAGGCAGCAGUGAGGAAUAUUGGUCAAUGGGCGGAAGCCUGAACCAGCCAUGCCGCGUGCGGGAAGGAGGCCCUAUGGGCUGUGAACCGCUUUUGCCUGGGGGCAAUAAGGGCGUCGCGCACGUCCGAUGAGAGUACCAGGCGAAUAAGCAUCGGCUAACUCCGUG